AUAUUUUUUUAAUUUGCUAAAAAAAAAUUAAAAGUAUUAAAAGUAAUAUAAAUAAAAGGAUUUUUUUUUUUUGAGAAGUUAAAAGGCCGGUUAUUGAAACCCUAAAAUUGUGUUAAAGCCUAUUAAACAACCCCUUCUCUCUCAUGCCAACAGACGGCUCAAGAGGAAUCGUCUUCUACACAGACAGCGCGCAAGAGGAAUCGUCUUCUACACAGAUGGUGAGCUUGGCCCCGAUUUCCCAACCCAGAUGGAAGAACGUCAUCGACCAGUGGACGACUUAUCUUUCCAGGUGGGUCUCGCCGAUUUAGGAAAGAUGGUCAUGGGUGGCUGAUUUUGGGUUGAUCAGUCUCUCCGCCUCGCCUAGAACACCGAAUGGCUACUGAAGAUGGAUCUCAUUGUUUAUUGUCCGAGUUCGUGGUCGACGAAGACAGAGUUUGAUGCUCGUAUUAAAUCUCGAUGUUCAUGGUGUCAAGCUUCGUGUUUGGUGGCGUUUGAAGCUCGUUAGAUAUCGGCGCAUUCAUGAAGAAUUUGAUUUCGUUUUCAUUUUUCUGUUAAGUUUUAUUUUGUAAUUUUCUGAGUUGAUUUAUGUUUUAAACUUUAUGAAUAAACCCACUGUAUUCUUUUUUGUUAGAUUUCUGGGUUUGUUACACUCAUUGGUGUGUUUUUUUUUUUUUUUUGUUGUUUUGGGUUAAAAUUUUGUAAAUUUCUGGGUUUGUGGGUGUAUGAUUAAUUUGUAUAUUGGAUUCAAAUUAUUAAAAUUUGUAUUCAAGUUUUUUCA